AGCGAACGUUUGCGGCGGGCUUAACACAUGCAAGUCGAACGAGAAUCCCUUCGGGGAGGAAAGUGGCGCACGGGUGCGUAACACGUGGAUAACCAACCCAUUGGUUUGGGACAACACCGGGAAACUGGUGCUAAUACCAGAUGUGUCGCAGCUGUCUUCAGGCGGUUGCGAGAAAGGCCCGCAAGGGUCGCCAACGGACGGGUCCGCGUCCCAUCAGCUAGUUGGUGAGGUAAUGGCUCACCAAGGCAAAGACGGGUAGCUGGUCUGAGAGGAUGAUCAGCCACACUGGAACUGAGACACGGUCCAGACUCCUACGGGAGGCAGCAGUGGGGAAUAUUGCGCAAUGGGCGAAAGCCUGACGCAGCCACGCCGCGUGAGCGAUGAAGGUCUUCGGAUCGUAAAGCUCUGUGGGGGGAGAAGAAGAAAGCCGGUGAAGAGCGGCCCUGACGGUAUCCCCUUAGCAAGCACCGGCUAACUCCGUGCCAGCAGCCGCGGUAAAG
rnacentral:rRNA from 1 species